AGCUUUGUGCAGUGGCAGUAUUAUAGCCAGUGAGAUUUAUCUGAAGUGCAAUUAUUGCUAAUUGAAAAAAAAAAAUACAAGAAAC
ensembl:snRNA U4 U4 spliceosomal RNA